CCUACGGGUGGCAGCAGGGGGGAAUAUUGGACAAUGGGGGCAACCCUGAUCCAGCCAUGCCGCGUGUGUGAAGAAGGCCCUCGGGUUGUAAAGCACUUUCAGUGAGGAAGAACGCCUGGUGGUUAAUACCCAUCAGGAAAGACAUCACUCACAGAAGAAGCACCGGCUAACUCCGUGCCAGCAGCCGCGGUAAUACGGAGGGUGCGAGCGUUAAUCGGAAUUACUGGGCGUAAAGCGCGCGUAGGUGGCUUGAUAAGCCGGUUGUGAAAGCCCCGGGCUCAACCUGGGAACGGCAUCCGGAACUGUCCAGCUAGAGUGCAGGAGAGGAAGGUAGAAUUCCCGGUGUAGCGGUGAAAUGCGUAGAGAUCGGGAGGAAUACCAGUGGCGAAGGCGGCCUUCUGGACUGACACUGACACUGAGGUGCGAAAGCGUGGGUAGCAAACAGGAUUAGAUACCCCUGUAGUC
rnacentral:rRNA from 1 species